rnacentral:rRNA from 1 species
GAUGAACGCUGGCGGCGUGCCUAAUACAUGCAAGUCGAGCGAACAGACGAGGAGCUUGCUCCUCUGACGUUAGCGGCGGACGGGUGAGUAACACGUGGAUAACCUACCUAUAAGACUGGGAUAACUUCGGGAAACCGGAGCUAAUACCGGAUAAUAUAUUGAACCGCAUGGUUCAAUAGUGAAAAACGGUUUUGCUGUCACUUAUAGAUGGAUCCGCGCCGCAUUAGCUAGUUGGUAAGGUAACGGCUUACCAAGGCAACGAUGCGUAGCCGACCUGAGAGGGUGAUCGGCCACACUGGAACUGAGACACGGUCCAGACUCCUACGGGAGGCAGCAGUAGGGAAUCUUCCGCAAUGGGCGAAAGCCUGACGGAGCAACGCCGCGUGAGUGAUGAAGGUCUUCGGAUCGUAAAACUCUGUUAUUAGGGGAGAACAAAUGUGUAAGUAACUAUGCACGUCUUGACGGUACCUAAUCAGAAAGCCACGGCUAACUACGUG